rnacentral:rRNA from 1 species
AACGAACGCUGGCGGCAUGCCUAACACAUGCAAGUCGAACGAGGGCUUCGGCCUUAGUGGCGCACGGGUGCGUAACGCGUGGGAAUCUGCCCCUCGGUUCGGAAUAACAGUUAGAAAUGACUGCUAAUACCGGAUGAUGACUUCGGUCCAAAGAUUUAUCGCCGAGGGAUGAGCCCGCGUAAGAUUAGGUAGUUGGUGGGGUAAAGGCCUACCAAGCCGACGAUCUUUAGCUGGUCUGAGAGGAUGAUCAGCCACACUGGGACUGAGACACGGCCCAGACUCCUACGGGAGGCAGCAGUGGGGAAUAUUGGACAAUGGGCGAAAGCCUGAUCCAGCAAUGCCGCGUGAGUGAUGAAGGCCUUAGGGUUGUAAAGCUCUUUUACCAGGGAUGAUAAUGACAGUACCUGGAGAAUAAGCUCCGGCUAACUCCGUGCCAGCCGCCGCUGUAA